rnacentral:tRNA from 2 species
GCGUCCUUAGCUCAGUCGGGAGAGCGCUUCUCUUACAAAGAAGAGGUCACUGGUUCGAGACCAGUAGGAUGCACCA